UUUAUUUUAUUUCAUUUCAUUUCAUUUCCUUCCUUUCCUAUCAUUUUUUACUUCCUAAUUCAGCUACCUUUUGGCAUUUAUUGUAAUCAUCAUUCGGUGUGACAAUUUGGAUAUGGUAUUUGUUCAUACUUCCUGCUGUGUGUGUCUCUUCCCUGCCGAGGUCAUUAACUUUGUGAACACAGAAGCUGUGUCUUGCACUUUUUUUUUUUUUUGAAGCAACACCGAUGUUGAUGGUCUUCAGAUGUUUACUUAGACCUGAUUCAUUUUAUAGGAAAGGCAGGUGACUUUACAGGGAAGAGGCAGGAAGACACAGGCGUUCCUCACGUACUGCGCAGAAUUACUGGUACAUAUGUGGGCUGGGAGUUGCUACGAAAGCCUAAAAGUCUUCUUCCCUCCUGGGAUCCAGAAACGUCUGGUCGUCUGGGAUCAACUAGUGAAAAGUGACCGUCAGGAACGUACUCUUACCAGGAGCAAAGGAACCUGGGAGCAAAGGGCGUCUGUGAGAAGAGAACAAAGGUGUUCCGUUCUGCCCCUUCACCAACCCAUGGACGGAGUUGGACAGCAGGGCCAUGAGUAAUCCACCAUGACGGGAGAAGAAAAUGGAAUGUAACUCUGGGCCUGUGUGACACUCAACGUUGAGUCGAGUUAGUUCAUCCUGAUUAACAUGGGUUGCCUCAGAAGCCAAUACAUCAGUCAUCGCCUCUGGCCGCAACUGUGCUCACGACGAGAGAAGUCCCAGGACCACUUCUGAAGGGGUUGUUUAAAUCCCUGGAAUGGAAAAAUAGCUUGUGACCUUGCGAUCCUACAGAAUUUCCACCCUCUCCACCCACAGCUGGGGGCUGCGGUGGGAGCCCUGCACGUGCUCUUCUGGAUGACGGUCCUGCUGUCCCUCAGGACCCGGGCGGCAGUGAGCAGGCUGCUCUCUGGUGUGCAUGGCUUCUGAAAGGGCAGGACCACAGCCUGCACUUGAGACGCCCAUCGUAGCCUCAAACUUCAGGGGAUCGCCAAAAGCCUCCGUAAGAAGGACGGGUAUUUUCAAAACUCCGAACAAAGGCCAAAAAUUUAUGAUGGACAAAAUGCCUACCUUCUAAAUGAAGCCAGGAUUGAUUUCUUGAUUUUAACUUUUGCCUGAAGCCCUGCCAUAGCUCCUCAUUGUCCUGCCAAGGGGGACCAAUCUCCUUUCCAGGGAUUACGUGACGCAGACUUCCUGUCUGAAGUUUGUGGUCUCCAGAAGCGUGCGGUGCUUCACCGUCCGUACUGUGCAUCAGAGUCACCUGGAAGGCUUGGGGGAGCACAGAUUGCUCAACCCCAAGUCUAGAAUUGCUGAUUUAGCAGGUCUGGGUGACAGGGCUCCUGCUGAUGUAGGGACCACAUGUAAGAACUAUCAUGGUGACAGCUCUCUGGAUAAUAAGCCAAUAGUACCCAUAACAGGAGCUCAUUUAAAGGAAAAUGCUUUUGGUCACUGAGUGAGUAAAUGAAAUGUCCUAGAGCCAAGGUCAGCCGGCAAGUAUACUGAGGGGCAUAUUGAAGAGGAAUCUCUUAUCCUUUGUCUUUUUAAGGGGCGCUUUAUCGCUCACGUUGGGUGGGCUCAGCUCUCUGUUGCUCGUGACAAGGUGACAUAUUUGAGGCAGAUGUUGGGGUCACUGGGGCUCUGAUGUCCAUUUCCAUGCUCCAGGGGCAGGGCACAAGCACAAAAGAGGUUCAAUUUCAGUUUGGUUCCAGAGGCCUCUGUUCUGUCCUCCACCCAUCACCCAUUCUUAGCAUCCUUGACUGGAAUGCCACCCAGUCUGUUCCUAUAGUGAUGCCACUGGGACCCGGCCUCCUCAGCCCCUCUCAGAGAUGGGUGGGAGUGAAGGUAAGAGGCCUUUUGGCCCAUGAAGCCCUGUGUGAACAAACCCCUCCCCCUCCACCCCCACCCCCCCACCCCUCAACCUACUGCUUAACUCUACUCAGUUUCCAUUUCCUUCCUCUGGCUAAGGACACCUGGACUUUCCUCUGGGGAACCCCUCUAAGGCCAGCUCUAGGUAGGGGCCUGACCACUCCAGAGCAACAGUGACUGCUUCAGGGAUGGUCACAUGACUUCUCUGGGCCAAUAAGAGCCUGUCUUGGGAUUUUCGAGUCAAGCAAAAGGAUGUUUUGACAGCUAGCCAUGGGUUAGGGGCUAAAUUUCCCAACUCAUUUCCCGAGUCAUUGCUCCCAAUGGAAAACCCAUUGUGCAGGCUUUAUUGAGAGCCGUCCCCAAGGUGCAUCAGUCAGGGGACCCAGCAAGGGGUUAUUUACAGUUGUGUACACUUUAAAUAAUGGUCUGCUUUUGAUUUAGUCUGACAGUCCAUGAUUCUGUGACACAGCACAACCUCAAAAUGAUCAAUGAAAUUAGGUAGAAAGGUCGAGGCAUGAAUUCGGGAAGGUGAGAAGAUAUUAGCCUUACUGCUGUUUCAAAAUUUCUGUUCUUUCUCCUUAGAUGGCUAGCUGCAAGUCAGUUAGGCAGUGGACUUCUGUUGUUAGGUUUUCUAUUAUAGCACUGCAGAGAAUGGAUGUAACUCUGUGACAGUCAUCCUGGAAAGGAGGCAGAUAUCCAUUUGCUAUCAGCAAGCAAAUUCAGAAGAAGGCAGGAAAAAUAGACAAAAAUACUCAGUUCUUUCCCCCCCACGCUUACCUCUUUUUUCCACCCCCACCCCCAUUUGGAGGAAGGCACAACUUUUCUGAAUCCUGAGGCUUUCUGUGGACCCCAAGAAUUCCAGAAAGAAAGAAUAGGGAGUUGGAAGAAGCACUGGAGAAGCGUCCGGGGAGUCGUCUGGUGCUAUAGUUGUUCAUGCACAGGCUGCAGGUGUUAGUGAAGAUGUGAAUUUGACAUAAUGCGAAGUUGCAGUCAAGGAAUGGAGCCAGUAAAUGAAAAAUGGUGGAGAUCCAGGAAGUACUGUCUUCUCCAUGUCACAGCUCUGUUCCCUGCUGUACAUCUGCCUUGUGUUUCUACUUCUGCAGAUUGGUAGAUAAACGUACCUUCACUUCCAAUGUGAUCAGCUGCAUCCAAGGAAACAGUCCAGGCUGAUGCUAUAGUAGCUUCAUUCCCAUUUUUGCUCUGGAGGAGGGUCGUCUGAUUGGCCCAGAUUCCUGCCGGUGUCCAACCUGAGCCAUCAUUUGGGUGUCUUCACCUCACGACUUCAGUGGAUAAAACGUAUAGACAGAUGGGCAAUUCUUGGUCCUUAGGCUUGGAAGAUCCUCCAAAAUCAUCCCCCACACUGGAUGAGCACCUGGCAAAAAUUUUUGUGACAAUCAGGCAUCAGAUGUGAUUUUCAAGCAAAUGACCUUGCAAGUCUCCUCUGAUGCCACUCUAACAACAUGGCGGACAAGGAAAAUUGAAGGGAGCGCAAGAGGAGAGGACAGCACUAGGGUUGUGCCUACCUUAGUGACAUGUUGAAGAUUAAUUCCAUGUUUUAGUAAGAGCUUGAAAGAUGAAAGGGGCUGGAAACGGUUUUGCAUCUUUCCUACCAAUUCCUGGGAAUGUAGGCUGAGAGAGGAAUUUGUUUCAGGGCUGUGAUUUGUAACAACAUUCACUUUAAAACUGCCUUCGCUGUGUGUUACAGGGUAUCUUUCACCUCAGAGGAAACUCAUAUAAGGCCAAGAAAUUGGAUCUCUGAAGGGAGAGGUAACGAGGUUUUAGGAUUACCAAGUGGCCCCGGGUUAAGCUCACCGUACUCACUCGAUAUGUAACCAAUCCUUCACAGAUGGGGUGUCGGGGCUGGAACGGUCCCUGGAAGCGAUCUGGUCUCCCUCAUUUUACAGUUGAGGAACUGAGAGCCUGGAACUCAGUGCUGUCAUAAGGGUCUUAUUGUGCUCAUUUGGAUCAUAGAAAGCACAGGAAAUCUCUCUACAUGGUGUGAUUUGGGGGAUUCUGGGAAGCCCAUUCUCAGCGACUUGAAAAUAUCUUAGGUACUAGGCUGUUACCCAUGCUAGGAAAGUUAAGUAAUUCUUAACUUUCCAUUAGGCACUACUUGCUACUGCACAUCCUCUUGUAACAUGGAAGUAUUUGGAAGACAGACACGAGAUGGAUUUAGCAACCAUGGAGGCGUUUAUUGAAACAAUGAAGGAGAUGGACUCGGAAGUCACACAAAUGGGAGACUGAGUCUCCACUCUCCCACUCACACACUGUGGGGCUUCUUACAAAUUAUUUCCACCUGGGAGUGUCAGUUUUAUCAUCUGUAAAGUGGGAAAACAGAGUAUCUGUCUCAUAGGAUGGAUAGGAUUACAUGAAAUAUGGUGCAAACCCUGACCUGAAUCAGCACUGAGUAAAUAACGUGCGAAUGGUGAGCACCGAAUAAAUAGAAGGCACUGUCCUCAUCAUCACCACUGGGGUCCUCAUCAUUUCUGGACAUGUGUCUACUUGAAACAGUGUCUUCCCAGGGAAGGAUGGGUCUUCCUGGAGCAAGACAUAAGAGGAACAGGACAUAAGAAGGAAAGCAGGAGCAGACAAGAUCUGGGGCGUCAAAGGCAAACCUCAUACUUCAUAGUUAGGCGGAUGAUCAGUUCCGGCUUAUGUAUUGGCCAAACCAAGAUGCUUAUGGAUUCAUGGCUCAAGAAUUAAAAUGUACAUCCCUGAGUUCAAGAAAUCCUCAGUGAUGGUUACACUGAUAUCAAAGUCACCACCAGUCACAUUCCAAGCCCUUGAUUCUUAAGAGGUCUUUCAAAAAGAAAACAAUACAUGACCAAUGGAAGCAAAAGUGGCUGUAUGUUCUUUUCACUGUUUUGACCUCGUUUUUCAUUUUGAGCGUAGAAAGUUUUGAGAGGCUCUUGGAUUCACUUUUAGCCAAGGAUACGAGGACUUAUGAAAUGGCCCUGUGUCAACUGCGUCUGACUUUGGGAGCUACAGAUAAUUCCUGAGGCCGGUCUGAGGUCAGUUCCUCAACGUGUCAUGGAACCCAACUGACCAAUGCUGGUGUUGACGUUAACGCACCUUAUUUAUUUAGUAUUUGCUGACUCGUGUAGUCAACAAACUUUUAUGAUCUACACAACCCUAAACGUGGCUUCAAUCAGUUUUGCAGUGUGUUCUGGGCUUUCCCGCUGGAGCACGAGGUCUGCAAUUGUAAGCCCCCCAUGAGGCAAACCGCUACAUCCUUCUCUGCUGCAUUUUCUUCCUGUAGGUCCAACUACUUCCAGAAUUUCCAAAAAGGUAAUUGUGCACAGAGGGCAUUCAAAAAUGAUGGAGCUUGUUUUAUUUCUAGCUCCCUCGUGGUUCUUACCACCCUCUGUGUUUCCCAAACCCAGGGAGCUCCUGUAUUUCUCAACAUCGAUGUGACUCCUUUUGCUCCUUUAGCAGAGUCUAUAAGUGGAGGUGGACUGAAUGACCUCACCUAGGGCCCUUGCCUCAAGCUUAUACCCUGAUCUUGGUACUCUAGACUUGGCUAUCUCUUAGUGAGAAAAGAAAAGGCAAAGGAAUGGAGAAAGAGAAGAUUAUUUAUUUAUAUUCUCUGUGAGAGCCAGUAAAAGCGUUCUAAGAUAUGUUCUCCACGUCUUCUCUCCUAGAUCCUGUGCUGGUCCUUGUAGGCACUUGUAGGCAUUCCAGGUGUCCACUGUAGGCAGAGUCAUAUCUUUCCAUCUUGGUCAAAUGUGAACAAAACAUAGUUGAGAACAUAAGGCAAUCCACAAGAGAGCCCAGUAAGCAUUGCUCAGUUGUGAUAGUAAAAUCCUUGUUUUUCCUGCUAGAAGACCGCUCCCAAGGUACAGGGUCCGCUAUUGUUCCUGGAAGGCCAUUCAGUUAUUGACUCAUACAGAGGCCUUUUUCUUACAUGGGAGAGGUGACGAGGUUGACAGAGUGUACAGAGAAAGAAUUGAGUUUACCCUCAGAUUGCAUCCUUGACCUAUUUAAGAGCAUCAGGUGAGAAGGAGAGACAGUGGGUUGACAGUGAGUUGUGACCAGGUGAUGAGGGCUUUGUGAAGCUUGCUCAGGAGGCUGGACUCCAUCCUACAUGCCAUGAAUGGAAGCCCAUGGGCAGUGUCUAUGGACAGGAGUGACAUGUUCGAGAAGGAUGAUCUUGCCAAGAGAAGUUUACUUUGGUGAAUUACAUCAAUGAAAAUGACCCCUUUAAUUUAGGCUGUAGAAGCCACAAUACUCCAAUUGGCAGGUACUCCGAGAUUCAGUAGCUGAGUUGCUGGGUCCUCCAGUAGAGACGACCUUACCUAUCCAUCAUGCCACCAAGGAACCUGAAGUUGUACAUCAGGAGAAUCCGUGGCAAAGUGGAAAAUGUACUAGGCCUGGGGGAAUGUGAAUUUAAGCCCUAGCUCUACUAUUUAUUCCCUUCAUGACUGGAAUCAAGUCCCUUAAAAUUCCUGGGUCUCAGGUUUCUCACCUGCUAAGGGAAGAUAAAACCUGCCCUAUAACACUUAGCUGUUGUGUGAAUAAACGAGAUAAUCAAGUGAAAAUGCUCGAUCAUUGGAGUACGGAUGAAAGCCUGUGUGUGUCAGCUCCGACUUCUGGCUUGUUACUUUAUCAGUGAAAUCAAAUAGCCUUUCAUUCAGUCUUCUGUGGAUUCUUUGGACUACAAAGGUUUGUUGUCGAGAGCUAAAGACUGAUUACCUUCUGUGCGAGGUUUAUGAGACUUUCACAAAGCAGUCCCAGCAAGAGAAGUCACUAGCUCAGUAAUCACUGUAGACUCUUGAUUCCUCUAAGGUGCACAUUUUCCCACUAUUCCCCUUCCCCAUUCCAUCUCCCUUCCAAUCCUCUAGUAAUGACUUCCAACCGUGUGGCUCGAAUAGGACCUGUCGUAUGUCUUGAACAGGUGGGCAGGUGCAACACGAAGGGGGUGUCUGAAGCAUUCCCUUCAACAUGUCAAAUGUGAACCAGGAGGAGGAGAACCUUCUGGGUGGCAUUGGCUGGUGCUGAGAGCAUUGUGAGGGUAAGGGUCACAGUGCAUGACAAGUGGCCAACAUGCAGAGAGAGGCAGAUGUGGUUUCAGGAUGAAACUCCCACUGGUCACCACUCUUAAGGAAAGCCACAUUCAUCCUUUCUUUCCUAUGAUCUGCCUCACAAACCUGUCACUCUUUUAGUCUUGGUCUCAGUAGCAUUAAAUUUCGUCAUUUGCGAAUAAAAAUAUUCCUUUCCUCUAUC